AGGUCUCCUGAAGGAACGUUGAAGACGACGACGUUGAUAGGCCGGGUGUGUAAGCGCAGCGAUGCGUUGAGCUAACCGGUACUAAUGAACCGUGAGGCUUAACCCU
rnacentral:rRNA from 1 species